AAGGACGGAGUAGAGACAAUUUCAUUGGACUGGCAGAGGAGGAUUUUACCCAAGACUAGGAACGACCGGACUCCAUAAAGUUAGGCUUCCAGGAGCCCACGGUCAAAAUUCAAUUAGGGAGCCAUUUAAUAGACUUUAUGAUAGAUACUGGCGCUGAAUACUCAGUACUCCCAGAACUUUUGCAGAAAAAGGCAUCCAAAAGUGUAGUCAUUAAAAGUGCCACUGGUCAGUCAGCUAAGAGGUCUUUCCUCCAACCUUUAGAAUGCCAGAUUGGGGGACAUCAUUUAACCCAUCAGUUUUUGUAUAUACCUGAGUGUCCAAUGCCUCUCUUAGGUAGAGAUAUGCUGUCCAAAUUGCAGGCCCAAAUCACCUUCACUCCUCGAGGUCCAGAAAUGAAACUGCCAUCAAAGGCAGCAGGAAUAAUUCCCUCUCAAUACCUAAGGAACAAUCAUGGCGCCUAAUGUCAGCCCUGCAAGUCCAACCCACAUUGGAUACAGAAUUAAACAAGCUCCUCCGAACCCUACAAGUGCCACCAGGAGUAUGGGCUGAAAAUAGCCCACCAGGAAUGGCUAAGAAUAUAGCUCCAAUUGUAGUAACCCUAAAACCUAUGGCUACCCCUGUAUCUGUAAAGCAAUAUCCUUUACCCCGGCGAGCAGCAGAGGGCAUCCAGAAACAUUUGGACCGCCUAUUAAAAUAUGGUCUGCUUAAGCCCUGCCAAUCAGAAUGGAACACACCCCUUUUGCCUGUUCGGAAGCCUGGGACAGAUGAAUACAGGCCAGUACAGGACUUGAGGCUCGUAAACCAGGCUAUCGAGACCUUGCACCCAAAUGUACCAAACCCAUAUACCUUGCUGAGUUUGAUCCCACCAGAAGCAACAUUUUUACUGUAUUGGACUUGAAAGAUGCAUUCUUCUGUUGCCGGCUGGCACCACAGAGCCAACCUAUAUUUGCCUUCCAGUGGGAAGACCCUUUGACAGGAACAAAAGGCCAGCUAACCUGGACAAGAUUGCCCCAGGGAUUCAAAAAUUCCCCAACUUUAUUUGGCACUGCCUUGGCGAAGGAUCUAACAAGUUACCCCUCAAUACCUGGAAAAAAGGUGGUUCUGCAAUAUGUAGAUGACCUUAUACUAGCGGCAAAGGAUUUUGAUACCUGUAAAGAAGGGACAGAGGAACUGCUCCACUUGCUCUGGGAAGCUGGCUACCGAGUUUCCCAGAAAAAGGCACAGUUAUGUUUAGAAAAGGUCAAAUAUUUGGGCUUUGACAUCUCACACCAACAACGAGCAUUGAGACCAGAGAGGAAAGAAGCUAUUUGCCUUAUCAAGGAACCUACCACAAGGAAACAACUCAGAGGAUUCCUGGGAACAGCAGGGUUUUGUAGACUAUGGAUACCUGAUUUCAGCAGUCUGGCCAAGCCCUUACAUGAAAGCACUCGAGGUGCAGAAAAGGACCCAUUCGUAUGGGGACCUGAGCAGCAACAAGCCUUUUUAGUUAUCAAACAACGACUUAUGGAGGCCCCAGCCCUGGGACUGCCUAAUUCAGAAAAACCCUUUCAGCUGUAUGUACAUGAACAGAAUGGGAUUGCAGCAGCAGUCCUGACCCAGAGAUUAGGAAGUUGGAACCGUCCAGUAGCUUAUUUGUCAAAACAAUUGGACUCAGUAGCAAAAGGAUGGCCUCCAUGCCUAAGGGCAGUAGCGGCCACUGCAAGCCUUGUCAAAGAAGCUGAUAAAUUUACCUUUGGCCAGACGAUGUAUGUGAAUGUACCUCAUGCUGUUCUGACACUCAUGGAAUAUAAGGGUAGUUAUUGGCUAACGAAUCCAAGGAUGGCUAGAUACCAAGGCCUAUUGUGUGAAAAUCCCAGGAUUCAUCUACGAGUAGUGAAUAUGCUCAAUCCAGCAACUUUGCUGCCCCUACCAGAGGUAGAUGAUGAAGAAUCACAUGAUUGUCUCCAAAUAAUGGAUGAAGUGUAUUCCAGUAGACCCGAUCUGAAAGAUGAACCAUUGAAAAAUCCAGAUGUUGUAUAUUAUACUGAUGGUAGCAGUUACCUGCAUGAAGGUGCCAGACGAGCAGGAUAUGCUGUGGUCACCAAUGAGGAAGUUGUGGAAGCUGAAGCUUUGCCUGCUGGCACCUCAGCACAAAAGGCUGAACUUAUAGGUUUAACUAGAGCUCUGCAAUUGGCAGCCGGAUGUAAGGCAAACAUCUAUACUGAUUCUAAAUAUGCCUUCUUAACCCUGCAUGCACAUGGAGCUCUAUGGAAAGAAAGAGGUCUAAUCGGAGCCCAUGGGAAGGCCUUGAAAUAUGGACCUGAAGUAGAAAUCCUGUUGGAAGCAGUAUGGGCUCCAGAACAGAUUGCUGUAAUGCACUGCAAAGGUCAUGGACGUGGAAGGGAUCCAAUAACCAGAGGAAAUCAUGCUGCUGACAAAGCAGCCCGAGAGGCAGCCCAGAAGCCUGUGGGAGGAUUUAUAGCAGCCCUCAUACCAGAGGUAGUUCCAGAAGAAAUUAAACCUCACUAUACCCCAGAAGAGAGGAAGUGGGCUGAACAGGAAGGAGCGGUUGUGAAGGACGGUUGGAUGAUCCUGCCGGACAAUAGGAUUUAUGUACCUCAUCACCUAGCAGGCACAAUUGUAAGAAAUUAUCAUGAAUCUACUCACCUUGGCGGUACUGCAACCAGAGAGAGUCUCAGUCGGAAGUUGUAUAUUAUUAACCUAUCACAAUUAGCAACUUGCAUUUCACAGAAAUGUGUUCUUUGUGCUAAAAACAAUCCCAGGCAAGGACCGGUACAACCUCCUGGAAUCCAACAUGUGGGAUACGUCCCCAUGGAAAGCCUAAUUGUGGACUUCACAGAGCUGGUCCCUUCUAAGGGAUUCAAGUACCUCCUUGUGUUUGUAGAUACCCUUACCGGAUGGGUUGAAGCUUUUCCCACCAGGACUGAAAAGGCACGAGAGGUAACUAAGAGACUCCUCACUGAAUUGAUCCCGAGGUUUGGAUUACCUAGAUGCAUUGGAAGUGAUAAUGGGCCAGCGUUCAUUGAUCAAGUAGUACAAGAAGUAUGUCGAGUCCUACAAGUGAAAUGGAGACUGCAUGCAGCAUAUAGGCCUCAAAGUUCGGGAAAACUGAAAGAAUGAAUCGGACUCUGAAAACCCAAUUGGCAAAAUUAACCCAGGAAACAGGAUUGGGAUGGGUAGAUGUGUUACCCAUAACACUGUUUCGUGUUCGGUGUGCACCCACAAAAAGACUUAAGUUGUCACCUUUGAGCUCCUGUAUGGGAGGCCACCCUCCUUUGUUCAGGAUAUUCCAGCUGACCUCAAACAAAUAGGAGACCAUGUGACACAGGGACAAGUGCAAUCUCUCUCCCGUGUUUUUGUUUCUCUUAACAGGUGGGCCCUCGAGCGCACGCCGUGCAGCAUUGCCGAGCCGAUUCAUCAGUUCCAGGCUGGCGAUAGCGUAUGGGUGAAAGAGUGGAAACGUGAUCCACUUGCACCUAAGUGGCGUGGGCCUUACACCGUCUUGCUCUCUACUCCAACAGCGGUGAAGGUAGCUGAGGUGACCCCUGGAUUCAUCACUCCCGCUUGAAGAAGUCCGAAGGCAGUUGGACGUGCAAAGGUGACCCCUCUAAUCCUUUUAAACUGACUCUCUCCAAAACCCCUGUAUCUAGUCCCUACGGGGAACGGGCUAGGUCACGGGCAACAUUAGACGACCGGCCUGCUGCAGCCACAACCUGGAAGCUGGCUGACCUGCGCACGCCUGAAGCUUGAGGAGCGUCUGAACCAGCGAUUGUGAACAGGAAGAUUCUCUUAUACAAUUGAUUGACUGCCCCCUUGUGGAACAAUUAUCAGGGAUAUUACUCAUUGGGGAUCCUCGGGAUAUAUGUUUUGGUCUUGGUGGUUCCCCAUUUCUGUCAUUGGGGAAUUAUAUUGGGCCUAAUAUUUUUUGUUAUCACAAUAAGGUAAUCUUUGUGGAAGAAAUGCAUAUACUAGACAUCAACAUGAUUUUAUUAUUAAUCCUGAUCCCUUGGGAAGGGGAAGGGUCCUUGAAUCUGACCAAAUUUGCUAAAUAUGGAUUCCGCCAUGACCACAAUAUGUGGGUAGGCUUAGCUGAGAUGGUAGCCAAUGUUACAAAUAGGACCAAUUGCCUUGUUUGCUCUCUUGGACCAGAUGAUUCAGAGGGAGGUAUGCCCUUAUUACCGAUACCAUUAAAUGCCAUUGGUAUGGUAAGCGAAAUGCCACACCAAACAGAAGUACAGAAUUUCCCGGAUGGAACUCAACUAAACCAAUACGAGUUAUACCUGUGCAAGGGGAAUUCUGUGUACAUAAAUUAUCAGCUGCAGCUGAUUCUAUCAUGAUAGGCUCUUCUCAUUGCCACUAUACUUGGGAUUAUAUUAAGAAUAGUCAAACCUGGGCAAACGGUACUACCUAUCGAACUCGGAAUACCUUGCCCUGUGCACCUCCUUUUAUUCAUGCAUGGAAACUGGUGUGGAACAUAACUGUGACAGAAAAAGGCAAUCUAACAUACUGCACUGUGAACUCUAUGCCCCUUUUGAUAUUUCGCCUUAUGCACUCCACGUACCAAAAACCUCAGACCCGAUGGUUGUGGUGGAUAUGUGGAGAAUGGGCAUACAAGCAACUCCCUCCCAAAUGGAGUGGGACUUGUUUCCUGGGAUGGGUAUUACCACCAAUGUGGAUUAUGCCCACUAGUUCGGCAAAGCGUACACGAAGAAACGCUGAUAUUUCUCAUAUAGCAGGAGGAAGUACCCAAAGUUGGAGUGAUACUGAUGAUUGGCCACCAGAGCGCAUUAUAGCCUAUUAUGAGCCUGCCUCCUGGAAUCCUGAUGAGCUCAUACAAGGGGCACGGGAUCCUAUUUAUAAUCUAAACAGAAUAAUUCGAUUGCAAGCAGUAGUGGAACUUGUAACCAAUGCAACGGCCCAGAGUUUGAGACUUAUUGCACAACAGUUGGAUGAAAGUAGAGCCGCCAUUUUGCAGCUGAAAAUGGGAAUGGAUUAUGUACUUGCCAGGCAGGGAGGCCUAUGUGGAGUCUUAAACUUGACAGGGAAUGCCUGUUGCUUUAACAUUUCUGAUAAUGGUGAGGCAAUCCGUGUGUUGGCCACAAAGAUGGAGAGUAUAGCACAUGUCCCAGUACAAAUAUGGGAAGGAUGGGAUAUGGGAUGGCUCACCAAUUGGUUACCUAAUGUUGCGGGACUCAAAGGGAUACUAUUGUCUUGCUUGUUUUUCUUGACGGUAGUAGUAAUGGUUUUAUGUACGGUGCCAUGUAUCAUUUCAUGUUUUAGAAGUACAAUUAGCAAGAUGAUUUCAAAUGAAACUUUACCUCAUAUUAUGGCCCUAUACAGAGCUUUACCUCAGGAAUAUGACGAAGGUCAAGCUAUCAAGGACACUUGGGAUGAAGGUCCUUGAGCUUGAAAGGGGGGAAUGAGGCAUCUGAUCAAAAUCUGCUUUGAGCUUAAAAAAAUUAUAUUUGUAAAUAUAUUUUUCUCUGCCAGGGAGAAGACCAGCUUGAAUACUCUGACAGCUGUUCAAGGGCCCCACUGCUAUAAAUAGCAGUAUUUCAGGGUUGUAAAAGUAUUUCAAGGUUGUAAAAGGAAAUUAGAGCCAGAGAGCAAAAGGUCACACUGACCAGAAUACAAUCAAGCUGUAAAAACACAAUUAAGAACUGGUAAAUAGUGAAAUUUAUUGUUUAACAGAAGACUCGAGCCAUAAGGUUAAAGGUUAAAUGGAAGAGGUUGCUCUUAGAAACAGCUGCUGGAUAGGGGAAAGGUUUCUUUAUAGAACUUAGGAACUUAGCUUUCACUAAGUUCCUUCUAAUUUGAAAAGGCCUUUCCUUCUAAAAAUCUAUCUAUGUUAUGUAUGAAAUAUAUUGGCUUAAAUGUAAUUAUGCAAAGGAUUUAGAAAGUAAGAAAUGUUAGAUUCUUAUGUUAGAUUCCUAUUAUGGUGGGUGAGAAUGUGAACUCAAGAUCUCUUUAAGAU